rnacentral:rRNA from 2 species
AGUUCGGAUUGGAGUCUGCAACUCGACUCCAUGAAGCCGGAAUCGCUAGUAAUCGUAGGUCAGCCAUACUACGGUGAAUACGUUCCCGGGCCUUGUACACACCGCCCGUCAAGCGAUGGAAGCUGGGGGUACCCGAAGCCGGUGGCCUAACCUUCGGGAGGGAGCCGUCGAAGGUAAACUCAGUGACUGGCGCUAAGUCGUAACAAGGUAGCCGUAGGGGAACCUGCGGCUGGAUCACCUCCUUU